GCUAUAUUAAAUUGUUGCAGUUAAAAAGCUCGUAGUUGAACUUCUGCUGCAUUGUUUUAUCUCUUGUAUGAGUUGAUGCAUUGCGGCUUAUUUCGGUCGUGGUUUUCCUCGUCCGGAUUUUUACUUUGAGAAAAUUAGAGUGCUCAAAGCAGGCUUUUGCCUUGAAUAGUUUAGCAUGGAAUAAUGAAGUAGGACUUUGGUUCUAUUUUGUUGGUUUUUGUACCAAAGUAAUGGUUAAUAGGAACAGUUGGGGGCAUUCGUAUUUAACUGUCAGAGGUGAAAUUCUU
rnacentral:rRNA from 1 species